rnacentral:tRNA from 1 species
GGCUGGUUGGCCUAGUGGUUAGGGCGUAUCCUUUACAAGAGUCCUUUUUGCGACGUCUACGGAUAAGGUCGUGAGUUCAAUCCUCACACUAGUCA